rnacentral:piRNA from 1 species
UGAGAAUCUAAAACAAGUUUCUAAGAC